rnacentral:rRNA from 1 species
AACGCGAAGAACCUUACCAGGUCUUGACAUCCUCUGACACUCCUAGAGAUAGGACGUUCCCCUUCGGGGGACAGAGUGACAGGUGGUGCAUGGUUGUCGUCAGCUCGUGUCGUGAGAUGUUGGGUUAAGUCCCGCAACGAGCGCAACCCUUGAUCUUAGUUGCCAGCAUUCAGUUGGGCACUCUAAGGUGACUGCCGGUGACAAACCGGAGGAAGGUGGGGAUGACGUCAAAUCAUCAUGCCCCUUAUGACCUGGGCUACACACGUGCUACAAUGGACAGAACAAAGGGCUGCGAGACCGCAAGGUUUAGCCAAUCCCACGAAUCUGUUCUCAGUUCGGAUCGCAGUCUGCAACUCGACUGCGUGAAGCUGGAAUCGCUAGUAAUCGCGGAUCAGCAUGCCGCGGUGAAUACGUUCCCGGGCCUUGUACACACCG